GCCCGGGUGGUGGAACUGGUAGACACGCAGGACUUAAAAUCCUGUGGCUUUGCGGCCGUGCCGGUUCGAUUCCGGCUCCGGGUA
rnacentral:tRNA from 1 species